rnacentral:rRNA from 1 species
UACGGAGGAUGCGAGCGUUAUCCGGAUUUAUUGGGUUUAAAGGGUGCGUAGGCGGAUCGUUAAGUCAGUGGUCAAAUUGAGGGGCUCAACCCCUUCCCGCCAUUGAAACUGGCGAUCUUGAGUGGAAGAGAAGUAUGCGGAAUGCGUGGUGUAGCGGUGAGAUGCAUAGAUAUCACGCAGAACCCCGAUUGCGAAGGCAGCAUGCCGGCUUCCGACUGACGCUGAAGCACGAAAGCGUGGGGAUCGAACAGG